UCAGCGAGGAGUGUCGACCGACA
rnacentral:siRNA from 1 species